GGGGUAGACUAGACAGGAAGUCGACCGACGGCACUGAGUGGUGCGAGCUCACACCAGUGACAGACGAACCGGCCCUCUGCCUCGCCGAAAUUAUCCACGUAGAGUGUUGCCUCACUGGGGACACCCUCUCCGUGCUAACAAUAGAGACCCUCGACUUGUCAGCUCUCGGGAGGGGAAGACAUCGGGAGAGGAAGACGUCGGCACAGAGGAGACAGCUCAGAAAUGUUAAGCUGCUGCCAUUUUUAUUAAGAGACAGUGGAGCUGGGUCUAAGGAGGAGCCACCUGGCUGACGGAGACCUACAUUGGAGCACCGGACCGAGCCCCCCAAGGUCC